rnacentral:snRNA from 1 species
AACCGCACAGUGAGCACAAAGCGAACUAUUCUUUCGCCUUUUACUAAAGAAUACCGUGUGCUCGCCGCACUCAGCGGUAUACACCUAUUUUUGUAGGAUUCUCUCUGCUUCUGUAGAGAAU